UACGUAGGGGGCAAGCGUUGUCCGGAUUUAUUGGGCGUAAAGCGCUCGCAGGUGGUUCGUCGCGUCGUGCGUGAAAGACCCCGGCUCAACUGGGGGAGGUCGUGCGAUACGGGCGGACUGGAGGCCAGUAGGGGGAUGCGGAAUUCCGGGUGUAGUGGUGGAAUGCGUAGAGAUCCGGAGGAACACCAGCGGCGAAGGCGGCAUCCUGGACUGGUCCUGACGCUCAGGGGCGAAAGCGUGGGGAGCAAACCGG
rnacentral:rRNA from 1 species